AUGUAGACGGGGUUUUGCCAAGAUAACACAACCUCCAUUCAGGAUUAUUCAUCUUAAAUAAUCGUGUUACUUUAGUCGGCACCAUAAUUUUUAUAUAGAUGCAGUGUCUUCCCAGGUGUACUAGUUCAAUAAUAUUAUAAAG